rnacentral:SRP_RNA from 1 species
GCCAGGCACGGUGGCGCAUACCUGUAAUCCCAACUACCCGGGAGGCUGAGGCAGGAGGAUGGCUGGAGUCCAGGAGUUCUGGGCUGUAGUGCGCUAUGCCGAUCCGCUCUCUGCACCAAGCUGGGCAUCAAUAUGGUGACCUCCCAGGAGCAGGGGACCACCAGGUUGCCUCAGGAGAGGUAAACCGGCCCAGGUCGGAAACGGAGCAAGUCAAAAAAGCUAAUCAUUGCUCUCUUGUUAGAAAUUAAAUGUACUGUCACAGACAAGAGUCCACUGAUGCCUGAGCAAACAACAAUAAA